rnacentral:rRNA from 1 species
UACGUAGGUGGCAAGCGUUGUCCGGAUUUAUUGGGUUUAAAGGGUGCGUAGGCGGGUAUUUAAGUCAGAGGUGAAAGACGGCCGCUCAACGGUCGCAGUGCCUUUGAUACUGGAUAUCUUGAGUGCAGACGAGGUCUGUGGAAUGGAUGGUGUAGCGGUGAAAUGCUUAGAUACCAUCCAGAACACCAAUUGCGAAGGCAGCAGACUAGGGUGCCACUGACGCUGAGGCACGAAGUGCGGGGAUCAAACAGG